GCGGCAGUAGUUUAGUGGUAGAAUAUAGGACUGUGGAUCCUAUGGUGCGGGUUCGAUUCCCGCCUGUCGCC
rnacentral:tRNA from 1 species